UGCUAAGGAAAGGAUUUAAACCAAUAUUUAAGCGUUU
rnacentral:tRNA from 2 species